rfam:Pseudogymnoascus pannorum VKM F-4520 (FW-2644) contig_1922, whole genome shotgun sequence.
GCCUGGGUAGCUCAAUCGGUAGAGCGUGUGACUCUUAAUUCCUAUCUUAGGAUACGAGAUCAUCUCAAGGUCGCGGGUUCGAGCCCCGCCUCGGGCU